UGAAUACGAGAUGCUACGGCGUCGAAGCAGUCUAUGUCAUACUUCCAAGAAAAGCUUGCACUGUCAUAAACAAAUAAUGCCUGUACCAUAACCGACACAGGUGGGUAGGUAGAGUAUACUAAGGGGCGCGAGAUAACUCUCUCUAAGGAACUCGGCAAAAUGACUCCGUAACUUCGGGAGAAGGAGUGCCUUAUUUAUAAGGUUGCAAUAACAAGAUCCAAGCAACUGUUUACCAAAAACACAGGUCUCCGCUAAGUCGUAAGACGAUGUAUGGGGGCUGACGCCUGCCCAGUGCCAGAAGGUUAAAGAAGUUGGUUAGCAUCCGCGAAGCUGAUAACUGAAGCCCUGGUGAACGGCGGCCGUAACUAUAACGGUCCUAAGGUAGCGAAAUCCCUUGUCGGGUAAGUUCCGACCCGCACGAAAGGCGUAAUGAUUUGGAUACUGUCUCGGAGAGGGGCUCGGUGAAAUAGACUUGUCUGUGAAGAUGCGGACUACCUGCACCAGGACAGAAAGACCCUAUGAAGCUUUACUGUAACCUGAAAUUGAAAUUGGACUUUACUUGCGCAGUAUAGGUGGGAGGCGUUGAGAAUAUUCUUGCGGGAUUAUUGGAGCCAUCAGUGAGAUACCACUCUUGUAAUGUUAGAUUUCUAACUUUGUAUCAUUAUCUGGUCAAAGAACAGUUUCAGGCGGGCAGUUUGACUGGGGCGGUCGCCUCCUAAACGGUAACGGAGGCGCACAAAGGUUUCCUCUGAACGGGUAGAAAUCGUAUCUAGAGUGUAAAGGCAUAAGGAAGCUUGACUGUGAGACCUACAAGUCGAGCAGGGACGAAAGUCGGUCUUAGUGAUCUGACGGUGCUGAGUGGAAAGGCCGUCACUCAACGGAUAAAAGUUACUCUAGGAUAACAGGCUGAUCUCCCCCAAGAGUUCACAUCGACGGGGAGGUUUGGCACCUCGAUGUCGGCUCAUCGCAUCCUGGGGCGGUAGUACGUCCCAAGGGUUGGGCUGUUCGCCCAUGAAAGCGGUACGCGAGCUGGGUUCAGAACGUCGUGAGACAGUUCGGUCCAUAUCCGGUGUAGGCGUUAGAAUAUUGAGAGGAGCCUUCUUUAGUACGAGAGGACCGAGAAGGACAUACCUCUGGUGUACCAGUUAUCGUGCCAACGGUAAACGCUGGGUAGCUAUGUGUGGAGUGGAUAACCGCUGAAAGCAUCUAAGUGGGAAGCCCACCUCAAGAUAAGUAUUCUCAC
rnacentral:rRNA from 1 species